rnacentral:rRNA from 1 species
CCCGCCACGGGAAUACGGAGGGUGCAAGCGUUAAUCGGAAUUACUGGGCGUAAAGCGCACGCAGGCGGUCUGACAAGUCAGAUGUGAAAUCCCCGGGCUUAACCUGGGAACUGCAUUUGAAACUGUCAGGCUGGAGUCUUGUAGAGGGGGGUGGAAUUCCAGGUGUAGCGGUGAAAUGCGUAGAGAUCUGGAGGAAUACCGGUGGCGAAGGCGGCCCCCUGGACAAAGACUGACGCUCAGGUGCGAAAGCGUGGGGAGCAAACAGGAUUAGAUACCCGCGUAGUCCCUGUCUCUUAUACAA